rnacentral:lncRNA from 10 species
CAGAUGUCCCAGCCCCUUCAUUUUGCAAUCGACAUGCAAGUGACUUGUCAGCAUCUCCCAGCAAGUUACUAAGAGCUGAGAGGGAGAUCAGUGAUCUCUCACAUCCCAAGGAAGUUGACUCCUGAGGAUUCCAGAUACCAAACAGGACAUGUAAAGGAAGGAGAGAGGGUGGCGGGGGCAGGAGGGCCUUCCCUGUUCUCUGUCCCUCCGUGACUCAUGCAGGGAGUGUUUCAUGUGCAGUCACUCUCGUCCAAGGACCACAGAGGGCAGUGGGGGCCCCAUGGAGGCCAAGACCCAGCCCAUAAUAAACAAGAUGAUUUUAGCUACUGAUAAAUGCUGCAAUGGAAACCAAAUAGGAGGAUGAGAGAGUUGAGCCAAGGAAGGCCACAUUGGCUAGGCAGUCAUGAUGGCUGCUUUGAAGAGGUGACAUUUCACCUGAGAUGUGAACAAUGAACCAGUCAAUCCAAGCAUGAAGAGCAAGGAGGAUCAUGGAAAUGCCUAAUGGGGGAAGGAGGACUUAACGCCAGAGUAGGGGGCUCAGGGGAUGCUUCCUGGGAAAGCAAUCUCCAAGCUGAAAACGAAAGGAAGGGUCCGAGCUGGUCAGGUGAAGAAGCAGGAAGGGGAGAGGUUCCAUGAAUUCAUUAAAUCUUUGAGCAAACCCCUAGGGAAGACCUACUGUGUGCCAAGUGCCAGGCUGAGGGACAGAAAUUCAGCAGUGCAAGGCAGACAGCCCAGCUCCCAGUGAGGAGGACGGACUCUGCACAGCUAGUAGGGGAAAGCUGGCUGUCUCAGGCAACAGUUCUUUUGCAGACAUUUAAGACCAAAUCAUUCUUUGUGGAGGAGGGUACUGUCCCAUGCAUUGUGGGAUAUUGAGCAGCAUCUCUGGCCUCCACCCACUAGAUUCCAGUAGCACCUCUCAGUUUCAACGACCAAAAUUAUCUCCAGACACUGCUGAGUGUUCACUGAGAGCAGAAGGAUUCCUGGUUGAGAAGCACUGUGCUGAAGUGUCAUGCAAAAGAGAGACAGCAAGAGACAGCAAAUGAGU